UGACCUGACACUUCGUAUGAGAAGAAGCUU
rnacentral:piRNA from 1 species